AGUGAACGCUGGCGGCGUGCUUAACACAUGCAAGUCGAACGAGAACGGAUUAUAGCUUGCUAUAAUUGUCAGCUAAGUGGCGCACGGGUGAGUAAUGUAUAGGUAAUAUGCCUCUUACUAAGGGAUAACAAUUGGAAACGUUUGCUAAUACCUUAUACUCCUUAUUAACAUAAGUUAAUAAGGGAAAGAUUUAUUGGUAAGAGAUUAGACUGUAUUGUAUCAGUUAGUUGGUGGGGUAAUGGCUUACCAAGACUAUGACACAUAACUGGUUUGACAGGAUGAUCAGUCCCACUGGAACUGAGACACGGUCCAGACUCCUACGGGAGGCAGCAGUGGGGAAUAUUGCACAAUGGACGAAAGUCUGAUGCAGCAACGCCGCGUGGAGGAUGACACAUUUCGGUGCGUAAACUCCUUUUAUAUGAGAAGAUAAUGACGGUAUGAUAUGAAUAAGCACCGGCUAACUCCGUGCCAGCAGCCGCGGUAA
rnacentral:rRNA from 1 species